rnacentral:rRNA from 1 species
UUAAGUCCCGCAACGAGCGCAACCCUUAUCCUUUGUUGCCAGCGGUUAGGCCGGGAACUCAAAGGAGACUGCCAGUGAUAAACUGGAGGAAGGUGGGGAUGACGUCAAGUCAUCAUGGCCCUUACGACCAGGGCUACACACGUGCUACAAUGGCAUAUACAAAGAGAAGCGACCUCGCGAGAGCAAGCGGACCUCAUAAAGUAUGUCGUAGUCCGGAUUGGAGUCUGCAACUCGACUCCAUGAAGUCGGAAUCGCUAGUAAUCGUAGAUCAGAAUGCUACGGUGAAUACGUUCCCGGGCCUUGUACACCCCGCCCGUCACACCAUGGGAGUGGGUUGCAAAAGAAGUAGGUAGCUUAACCUUCGGGAGGGCGCUUACCAC